rnacentral:misc_RNA from 1 species
CCGAGUACUGAGGUCCCUCGAGGGCCUCUGCUCCCACACCAUGUGUACCUUACCUUUACGUUGCUUUGGCGAGCCGUCCCCUCCCUCGCGGGAGGUGGGCGCCGGCUGCUUCACGCGGCCGGAGAGUCGCUCGCCAGAGGACCAACCCAAAACUCUUCUGUUUGAAUUGAAUCAGUCUGAGUAAAAUUGUUAAAUGAAUUA